GAGAAACCUGUGAUCGGGAAAAAGUAGCGCAGUUUCUCCCCUUUCAGAGAGCCGCCGGCGGUGGAAGCGCGGCAGGGGAAGCAGCGUCAAUGGUCCCGGGAGGGCGGGCCGGAAUCCAGUGUGUGCUGGGAGUAUGGUUCGACGUUUUCCGCGUUAAGGAACAAAAGUGGGCAAAGUGUAUCUUUGUCAAUGUGGGUGGCACCGCAGGUGAGUCCUGUCCCUGGU
rnacentral:ncRNA from 1 species